AAGUAAUAAAAAAGGUUGGGUUUUCGAUUCUUACCUAAUUAAAGUUAUUACUGGAUGAGAAUUGACGAUAAAUCGUCGUUCAAGAAAAAAACACGAAGAAAAGGCGAUGGAGGAGAAGAAGAGAGGAAGAAGAAGAAACGGUUUUUUUUUUUUGGGGGUGGGUGGGUGUUAGGUUUACUUUUUGGUUAUCAAACGGUAUUUUCGUAUUUUUGAUAAUAAAUUAGGUCCCCUCGUCCACAUUUAGGAUAGUUUUUUUUUUUUUGGACGUAUGUCAUGGCAGAGAAAGGAAAACAAAAAGAAAAGAAACAAACAAACGGGAUAGUUGAAUUUAUAUGAGGAGCCCUCAAAACCAAAUCCUUGAAGCCCCUAUAAUAGGUUUCUUGAUCAAUUAUAUAUACUAAAUGAAAUUGACAAACGGGCAAUCUUUUCCUGUAUCUCUUUUUUGAAUUAGCAGCCAUGUCAUUGAAUAAAUUUUAAAUACAUCGGCAUUUCCAGGGCCGUUACGGCACGGGUCAUAUACUAGUCAUUUUUACAAAAAUAAAUGUGUUUUUGUUGAUCUGACGGUUCUGAAUGGGUAUUUUUUUUCUAUCCACGGUCACCAUUUGCUCUCAAAGUUGAGAGAUAAAUCGUGAUUGAGAAUCCUCCCCACUUUAUGCCCUGAUCCAACGUUGCAUAUGCAGCCUGGGUUAAAUGCUAGAGAAAAAACGCACAUCAUUCUUGAAGUCUCUGCCGUUUCAAACAUGAAGUCUCCGCCGUUUCAAAAAAAUAAUCAAUGGAAUUGAACUCGACCUUGAAUUCACACACGGACGAUUUUUCUUCUUAUGGAAUUCAACCCAAACUAUAAGAAUAGUUUUUCACCCUAAGUUUGAAGACACAUUUUCUGGCCUCUUUGCGAGUUUCGAAUUUGGCAAGUGCAGCAUGGGAUCUACAUCCAAAUCUAGAUCAUCAUUUUCAUGUUUCUUUCUGUGGAAUAAAUUCUCAGUCUCUAUUGUGGUUGAGCAUUUCGUCUUCUGUAUUUUUUUGGGCGUAAGCAGUCUAGGUCCCAGGGAUCAGUAAUUCUAUUAACGUAUCAGAUGACAAAAUUCUGGGAAUAAGAGAAGAAAAUGCUAAGCCGAUUGGUACGGGAGUUUUACUUGCCGAGACUAAAGAAAAGACCAUCAUUCAGUUGUCCUUUUUUAUUUUAGUUGUGGGUACCAGUGCAAUAUUUCCAUACAACGAUACAAGGUCCUGAAAGAUCACCAUUGGAAUUGCAGAUAAGGAAGCAGAAUUUUUGUUGUCUUUGGAGACAAUGCAUAAGCAUGCCGAAUAUGGUGUUGCAGCAACUUGGAUAUAUAAAGAGUCCGAGAAAAAGGUGUCACCGUCAAAGGAUAUACAUGUACCCAAGGCUGACCUUUCUCCGUUCCAAUCCUAAGGAGUAGAUAAUGAAACCGAAAUAAAUGAUGACGAUCUUUGCAGGAUUGUAUUGGGAUUCUUGGGCAUGAUCCGAAAUCAGUCUCUGAUUCAUUCGUCAUGAUUCUCAAAUUACAAACUUCUUAUAUUCAUCAUUAAUGGAAUAUACUGAAUAUCUCCUUUGUUUCAUGUAGUAAGUUGUUAGCUUCACAAAUAAGUGAAUAACUACACAGUUUUUGAUGCAUUUUAGAUUAACUAUUUUGGUUACUUUUUCAGAAAAUAUAUGGUUAUGGACAUAUGAUCUGAACACUAAAACCCACAUUUAUGUAAGGUUACCAGUUACAAACUCUUACCUUGAAGCAAUAUGUAGCUAGAAGAUUUGGUAAUGACAACAUUGAGAGAAAUCCUUGCUUUAAAUUGUGUGAUGCAUUAACCGCAUUGUUGUAGCACUGGAAAAAUUAAAACCAACUACGUACUGCGAAAGGAGCUCAGCUACGGUAAAUUCUGGAAGGUUUUUUUCCUAGGAAGCUGAGACUCUGGAGUAGCCAUGGAAAUACUUUUAUACUUCCAUGGAUCGGAAUAUGGAAAAACACAUUUGCAACUCGUAUGAUAACAUCAAAUCACACCAAUGGUUUCAUACAUCUAAAUAUACAUAGUAUUAUUAUCACGUUCUAGUCUGACCCUCCUAAAUUUUGAGUUGGCAGUCAGAUAUAAAACGGUACGGUGAGCAGUUCGCAAGAAAAAUAAAAGGACGUAGAUUGUGCUUUGUUUCCUGGGAAAAUACCAUUGUUCAAUGAGACAAUAAAAUGAUAAAUUUGGUUCUUCUCGAAAAUGAUUGUACAGGUUGUUGUUGGAGUCCAACCUGGCGUUUGUCUUGACAAUUUGUUGUUGUAAACAAAUGUAUGAAGUUGGCAGCUCUAAUUUUUUUAUAGUAAUUUAGCCUUUUUCCGGGAAA